rnacentral:rRNA from 1 species
UGAACGCUAGCGACAGGCCUGGAACAUGCAGUCGAGGGCAGCGAAGGAGCAAUACCUCGUCGGCACCGGCGACGGGUGAACAUGGAUGCAAUCCACCUGUAACAGGGGGAUAACCCGGAGAAAUCCGGACUAAUACCCCAUAAUAUGGGCGCUCCGCAUGGAGCCCAUUAAAGAGAGCAAUUUUGGUUACAGACGAGCAUGCGCUCCAUUAGCCAGUUGGCGGGGUAACGGCACCAAAGGGCGACGAUGGAUAGGGGUUCUGAGAGGAAGGUCGGCCCCACAUUGGAACUGAGACACGGUCCAAACUCCUACGGGAGGCAGCAGUGAGGAAUAUUGGUCAAUGGUCGGCAGACUGAACCAGCCAAGUCGGUGAGGGAAGACGGCCCUACGGGUUGUAAACCUCUUUUGUCGGAGAGUAAAGUACGCUACGUGUAGCGUAUUGCAAGUAUCCGAAGAAAAAGCAUCGGCUCUCCGUGCCAGCAGCCGCGGUAAUACGGAGGAUGCAAGCGUUAUCCGGAUUUAUUGGGUUUAAAGGGUGCGUAGGCGGCACGCCAAGUCAGCGGUGAAUCCGGGCUCAACCCGGACUGUGCCGUUGAAACUGGCGAGCUGGAGAGUACACAAGAGGCAGGGGCGGAAUGCGUGGGGUGUAGCGGGAUGUGAAAUGUCGCAUAGUAUCACGCAGAACCCCGAUUGCGAAGGCAGCCUGCUAGGGUGAAACACGGGCUGAGGCGAAAGCGUGGGCUAGUAUCAACAGGAUUAGAUAGUACCCUGGUAGUCACGCAGUAACGAUGAAUACUAACUGUUUGGCGAUACAAUGUAAGCGGUAGGCAGCAAAGCGUUAAGUAUUCCACCUGGGGAGUACGCCGGCAACGGUGAAACUCAAAGGAAUUGACGGGGGCCCGCACAAGCGGAGGAACAUGUGGUUUAAGGGUUCGAUGAUACGCGAGGAACCUUACCCGGGCUCAGACGCAGGGAAUAUAUAUGAAAGUAUAUAGCUAGCAAUAGUCACCUGCGAGGUGCUGCAUGGUUGUCGUCAGCUCGUGCCGUGAGGUGUCGGUUAAGU